rnacentral:rRNA from 1 species
AGCGAACGCUGGCGGCAGGCUUAACACAUGCAAGUCGAGCGGGCGUAGCAAUACGUCAGCGGCAGACGGGUGAGUAACGCGUGGGAACGUACCUUUUGGUUCGGAACAACACAGGGAAACUUGUGCUAAUACCGGAUAAGCCCUUACGGGGAAAGAUUUAUCGCCGAAAGAUCGGCCCGCGUCUGAUUAGCUAGUUGGUGUGGUAACGGCGCACCAAGGCGACGAUCAGUAGCUGGCUGAGAGGAUGAUCAGCCACA